AUGACUGGUGCCCUAGUGUGCGUGACAUUGUCGAUGCAUUAUCCAGAACACUGCCUCACCGGUGCGCGCAUCCCAACCAAUCACAUCUAUCUCCAUGUCCAUGAAUACUUUGUCAAGGGCUUUAAUGGCUCGUUUUGGAUGGACAAAGACCUCAUAUUGAUCGAUAUUGAAAAACAGGUCCAUGUCAAUGACAGAUCGACGUGUGGGUUUGAGGUGGACGAUAUAACCAACCUCACGCUAGAUAAUGCCCCUGGCAUUAUGUCUUGCAGCAACAUCCAAGCUGUGGUUGCCCUGAUCUCCGUUGAGCUCGCUGGAGGGCCAUGCCGGAGCCUGCCGCUGGGGCGUCGAGAUGGCACAACCACCAACAUUGAGAGCGCCAACAAUCUCCCGAGCCCCUUCGACUCCCCGGAGAUGCUCCAGGAGAAGUUCAAGAACUUGGGCCUCGACGACACUGACCAUGUCGCUCUCCAUGGAGAAAACACCUUUGGGCGAGUACAAUGCCAGUUGAUGCAGCAGAACUGCAGCGUCGGGGAGGACGAGGAGACACUAGUGAAUCUUGACACAGUCAUCCCUAAUGUAUUCGACAACAAGUACUACGGCAGCCUCUUGUGUGGCUGCACCCCUCUCCCUUUGACCAGGUUCUCCAUUAGCCUGAAGGACUCCUUAAAGAAUUAUGCGGCCUCGAUGGUCAAAAUGGGAACAGAAGCCCGUUAA
rnacentral:rRNA from 1 species